rnacentral:lncRNA from 10 species
CGCUGAGAUUACACACACCCGCCACAUAGCCCAGGAAGUCAGGGACCCCGAACUGAGGGACUGGCUGGAGCCAUGGCAGGGGAACAUAAAUUGUGAAGAUUUCAUUUUAAUAUGGACAUUUAUUAGUUCCCAAAUAAUGCUUUUAUAAUUUCUUAUGCCUGUCUUUAAUCUCUUAAUCCUGUUAUCUUCAUAAGCUGAGGGUAUGCCUCACCUCAGGACCACUGUGAUAAUUGUGUUAACUGUACAAAUUGAUUGUGAAACAUGUGUGUUUGAACAAUAAGAAAUCAGUGCACCUUGAAAAAGAAUGGAAUAACAACGAAUUUUAGGAAACAAGGGAAGACAACCAUAAGGUCUGACUGCCUGUGGGGUCAGGCAAAAAGAGCCAUAUUUUUCUUCUUGCAAAGAGACUAUAAACUGAUGUGCAAGUAGGAUAGAUAUUGCUAAAUUCUUUUCCUAGCAAGGAAUAUUAGUAUUAAUACCUUGGGAAAGCAAUGCAUUCCUGGGGGGAGGUCUAUAAACAGGCGCUCUGGGAAUGUCUGUCUUAUGUGGUUGAGAUAAGGAAUGAGAUACGCCCUGGUCUCCUGCAGUACCCUCAGGCUUACUAGGGUGGGGAAAAUCUCCGCCCUGGUAAAUUUGUGGUCAGACCAGUUCUCUGCUCUCAAACUCUGUUUUCUGUUGUUUAAGAUGUUUAUCAAGACAAUAUACACACCGCUGAACGUAGACCCUUAUCAGUAGUUCUGCUUUUGCCCUUUGCCUUGUGAUCUUUGUUGGACCCUUAUCAGUAGCUCUGCUUUUGCCCUUUGUCCUGUUCCCUUAGAAGCAUGUGAUCUUUGUUAGACCCUUAUUAGUAGUUCUGCUUUUGCCCUUUGAAGCAUGCAAUCUUCGUACCUACUCCCUGUUCCUACACCCCCUCCCCUUUUUAAAACACUUAAUAAAAACUUGCUGGUUUGAGGCUCAGGUGGGCAUCAUGGUCCUACCAAUAUGUGAUGUCACCCCCGGUGGCCCAGCUAUAAAACUCCUCUCUUUGUACUGUCUCUCUUUAUUUCUCAGCCAGCCAACACUCAUGGAAAAUAGAAAGAACCUACGUUGGGUGGGUUCCCUCAAUAAAUUUAGAUGUCCUUUAUAUUUCUUUCUCUUGUCUGAUUUCUCUGGCUAGGACUUCCAGUACUAAGUUCAGUAACAGUGGUAAAGUGGGCAUCCUUGUUGUGUUUCAGAUCUUACAGGAAAGGCUUUCAGUUUUUCCCCAUUCAGUAUGAUACUAACUGUUGAUCUGUCAUACAUGACAAUACAUAUUGAGAUAUGUUCUUUCUAUAUAAAGUUUUUUUAGAGUCUUUAUCAUGAAGGAAUAUUGGUUUUUAUCAAAUGCUUUUCAUAAAUAAUUAAAGUGAUUUUUUUUUUUUAAUUUUACUUUAAGUUCUGGGAUACAUGUGCAGAACAUCCAGGUUUGUUAAAUAGAUAUACGUGUACCAUGGUGGUUUGCUGCACCUGUUGACCAAUCCUCUGAGUUCUCUCCACUCACCCCCCACCUCCCAACAGGCCCUGGUGUGUGUCGUUCCCCUCCCUGUGUCCAUGUGUUCUCAAAGUUCAACUCCCACUUAUGAGUGAGAACAUGCUGUAUUUGGUUUUCUGUUACUAUGUUAGUUUGCUAAGGAUGAUGGCUUCCAGCUUCAUCCAUAUCCCAGCAAAGGACAUGAUCUCGUUCCUUUUUAUGGCUGCAUAGUCCAUG